GUGGUGGGGCUGGAGAUGAGGCUGGGACCGCCGGUGAAGACGGGACGGAUGAAGCGGACGAAUUGGACGAGGGUGGCGAUGAAACGGCCGAGGAGGGGGAUGGCGACAAUGCCGAUGUCAAUGCCAAUGCUAGCAACAGAGGGG
rnacentral:snRNA from 1 species